rnacentral:rRNA from 1 species
CCUACGGGAGGCAGCAGUGAGGAAUAUUGGUCAAUGGACGAGAGUCUGAACCAGCCAAGUAGCGUGAAGGAUGACUGCCCUAUGGGUUGUAAACUUCUUUUAUAUGGGAAUAAAAUGUUCCACGUGUGGGAUUUUGUAUGUACCAUAUGAAUAAGGCUCGGCUAAAUCCGUGCCAGCCGCCGCGGUUAUUCGGAGGAUCCGAGCGUUUACCGGAUUUUUUUGGUUUAAAGGGAGCGUAGGUGGAUUUUUAAGUCAGUUGUGAAAGUUUGCGGCUCAACCGUAAAAUUGCAGUUGAAACUGGCAGUCUUGAGUGCGUGAGAGGUGGGCGGAAUGCGUGGUGUAGCGGUGAAAUGCUUAGAUAUCACGAAGAACUCUGAUUGCGAAGGCAGCUCACUGGACUGCAACUGACACUGAGGCUCGAAAGUGUGGGUAUCGAACAGGAUUAGAUACCCUUGUAGUC